rnacentral:rRNA from 1 species
UACGUAGGGUGCAAGCGUUAAUCGGAAUUACUGGGCGUAAAGCGUGCGCAGGCGGUUGUGUAAGCCAGAUGUGAAAUCCCCGGGCUCAACCUGGGAACUGCAUUUGUGACUGCACGGCUGGAGUGCGGCAGAGGGGGAUGGAAUUCCGCGUGUAGCAGUGAAAUGCGUAGAUAUGCGGAGGAACACCGAUGGCGAAGGCGGUUCUCUGGGCCUUACCUGACGCUGAGGAGCGAAAGCGUGGGGAGCGAACAGG